AAAAACAAAACCAAAAAAAAA
rnacentral:sRNA from 1 species